rnacentral:rRNA from 1 species
GACGAACGCUGGCGGCGUGCUUAACACAUGCAAGUCGAGCGGAAAGGCCCUUCGGGGUACUCGAGCGGCGAACGGGUGAGUAACACGUGAGCAACCUGCCCUCAACUUUGGGAUAAGCCUGGGAAACCGGGUCUAAUACCGGAUACGACCUGGGGUGGCAUCACUUCGGGUGGAAAGUUUUUUCGGUUGGGGAUGGGCUCGCGGCCUAUCAGCUUGUUGGUGGGGUAGUGGCCUACCAAGGCGACGACGGGUAGCCGGCCUGAGAGGGCGACCGGCCACACUGGGACUGAGACACGGCCCAGACUCCUACGGGAGGCAGCAGUGGGGAAUAUUGCGCAAUGGGCGGAAGCCUGACGCAGCGACGCCGCGUGGGGGGAUGACGGCCUGGUGUAACUCUUCUAGCAGGGACGGAA